GACGAACGCUGGUGGCGUGCUUAACACAUGCAAGUCGAACGAUGAAGCCGGAGCUUGCUCUGGUGAAUUAGUGGCGAACGGGUGAGUAACACGUGAGUAACCUGCCCUUGACUCUGGGAUAACUGCGGGAAACUGUAGCUAAUACCGGAUACGACCCUCGGAGGCAUCUCCUGGGGGUGGAAAGAAUUUCGGUCAAGGAUGGACUCGCGGCCUAUCAGCUAGUUGGUGAGGUAAUGGCUCACCAAGGCGACGACGGGUAGCCGGCCUGAGAGGGUGACCGGCCACACUGGGACUGAGACACGGCCCAGACUCCUACGGGGGGCAGCAGUGGGGAAUAUUGCACAAUGGGCGCAAGCCUGAUGCAGCAACGCCGCGUGAGGGAUGACGGCCUUCGGGUUGUAAACCUCUUUUAGCAGGGAAGAAGCGAAAGUGACGGUACCUGCAGAAAAAGCACCGGCUAACUACGUGCCAGCCGCCGCCGUAA
rnacentral:rRNA from 1 species